CCCGGGCCUUGUACACACCGCCCGUCACACCAUGAAAGUUGGCAAUACCCGAAGCCGGUGGCCUAACCCGCAAGGGAGGGAGCCGUCGAAGGUAGGGUCGAUGAUUGGGGUG
rnacentral:rRNA from 1 species